CAGUCGCCACGGUAAAACGGAGGGUGCAAGCGUUAAUCGGAAUUACUGGGCGUAAAGCGCACGCAGGCGGUUUGUUAAGUCAGAUGUGAAAUCCCCGAGCUUAACUUGGGAACUGCAUUUGAAACUGGCAAGCUAGAGUCUUGUAGAGGGGGGUAGAAUUCCAGGUGUAGCGGUGAAAUGCGUAGAGAUCUGGAGGAAUACCGGUGGCGAAGGCGGCCCCCUGGACAAAGACUGACGCUCAGGUGCGAAAGCGUGGGGAGCAAACAGGAUUAGAUACCCCGGUAGUCCCUGUCUCUUAUAC
rnacentral:rRNA from 1 species